rnacentral:rRNA from 1 species
GAACCUUACCAGGGCUUGACAUGGGGAGGACGCAGCCAGAGAUGGUUGUUCCCGCAAGGGCCUCCCGCACAGGUGCUGCAUGGCUGUCGUCAGCUCGUGUCGUGAGAUGUUGGGUUAAGUCCCGCAACGAGCGCAACCCUCGCCUUCAGUUGCCAGCAGGUUUGGCUGGGCACUCUGAAGGAACUGCCGGUGACAAGCCGGAGGAAGGUGGGGAUGACGUCAAGUCCUCAUGGCCCUUAUGUCCUGGGCUACACACGUGCUACAAUGGCGGUGACAGCGGGAUGCUAGGUCGCGAGGCCAAGCCGAUCCCAAAAAGCCGUCUCAGUUCAGAUUGCACUCUGCAACUCGGGUGCAUGAAGGUGGAAUCGCUAGUAAUCGCAGAUCAGCACGCUGCGGUGAAUACGUUCCCGGGCCUUGUCACACCGA